AAGUUUGGAUAGAGUUAGAAAUAAAGGGAAAGUUAUUUACUAAAAUUUAUUUAUAGAUUGAGAACUGGACAAGAGGGACAUAAAAGCUCUAUAACCAAUGAGGUUUCAAUAUUGAGACACGUUAAAUAACUCCGGUUGUUGUGCAGAAGAGAACCAUCAAGCUUGUUUCAAUUGGGUCUCUCAGUGGAUCAGAUCAUGAUCCAUGUAUAUCCAUAGUACAGAACCAAGGAAAAUGUACUCAGUUUAAACUCAUUUAUAUUUACACAAACUACACGCAAUUUAAAGUUUUUUUUUUUUGAGAAGCCAGUAUAAAAGUACUGCGUCUCUGUAUUCAAGGAAAUACCAUGUCAGAUUAGUUUAUCAGUGUUGAUAUAAUUUUGAAGAAGGUAUAAGCAAACCUCUUUUACUCCUUUUUGAGCCGCUGAUGACCCCUUGUUUCCAAUGCAGAUUAAUUUGGAUGAACAUUACUAGUUCAUCUGUACAGGAUCCAUUCAUAAUAACUAGUUGGAAACCCAUGCAAUGCACGUGAAAAUUUUGACUAAAGUAUGUUAGUCUCAAGAUUUGCAUAAAAAGUAUAAUUAUAUUAUAUUGGUCUCAAACUGAAACAAUAAAUACUAAAAGAAGACUUAAAAAUAAAAAUAAAAAUAGUGUUCAUCUAACUAAAAUUUUUUGUAGUCCUCUCUAGUUUCUAUCAUAUGGGAUACCAAAUGUAUUUUUGCAUCAUAGAUUAUAUGCAAAAUAUUUAUGGCUAGAAUUCUAUAAAUUGUUUAGAUUUUCAGAAGGGACAAAUGCUAUUAGAAUCUAUGAUCGUAGUAUCUCAAUUGUUUGUCAAUAUCUAAAUUUAUGAUCAUCUUUAUGCUUAUGAUGGACCUACCACUUUCAUGAAUUUGUGAAAAAUAAAAUAAAAUAAAACACACACCAGUAAUUCGAAGGCAUCACAAACAGUUUGGUCCAACUUCUUGUGAAUUUCUUAAUCGGCUGUAGGAAGUCAUUAACAAAUUGGUUUUCAUACCUAGUACCAUAGCAUCACAGACGCCUCAAAAUUUAAUAUGAAUACAGUUGAAUGCAAUAUGACUAUUGGUGACUAUGCCAUAUUGCAUACCAUUUGACAUUUUCUGUAACACAGCAAGAGAAACAUUCGUUAUCUUAGUAGAUAAUCUUUCCAAUGUGUAGCACAUUGAUAAGAUUGAAUAUUAUCUUCUAUUUGGGAAAUUCUAAUAUACCACUCAAAAUGAGAGAGAGAGAGAGAGGUUAGGCCAUACAUUUCCUUUUUUAUUUUUAUUUUUUAGAGUGAUUGUGUAUCUUCCUUGACUAUACAUCUCUAUUAGUUUAUGCAGAAUGGAUGAAUUAAGACUUGAAAAAUGAGCAAGAACGUUGGUUUGGUCAAAUCGGAUCACUGAAUCCAGUCUACAAACCAUUGUUUGCAAAAAAGUUAAAGAGUGUGUGUAGUCUGAAGGGAAGCUUAGAGGAAGAGAAUUUCUAAGUGAGUUAAGGUCUUGGCUUUCAAGUUUCAUCAAUACGUGGGGAGGAGAAAGAGAGUUUGUAAGUGGGUUAGCUUUCAUCUACACAUGGGAAAUGAUCAUGCUUAGGUCAUAAUAUGUAAGGGAAUAAGUGGGCUUGGGCUUUUCAUAAAGUUUGGUUUGAUUUGGCCUAAUUUUCAACAACAGCUCGUCUUUUAGAUGAUAGUAAAAAGAAGUUAACUUGAUCUUUUGGGUAACAAUAAAAAAAUUUAAUGAGAAAAGAUUAAAGAAGCUAAAUACAAAUUAGAGUGCCAUAUGGCAAAACCUCAUGUGGGAGACCUCAUGUUCUCCCAUAUGAGGUUUCUGCUUAUAUAUAUAUAUAUAUAUAUAUAUAUAUAUGUAUAUAUUUUGAUAAAUAACGAUAUUUCAUAAAUCAAAAGCCCCAUGUACACCAGGAGUGUGCAUGGAAAGGAUUACAUCAAGAUCGGAAAUUACAAUGAUCAAGCAUAACAAAAAAAUUAGAGCAAGAAAAAGAAGUGAAAAUAGAACACCAAGCAAAUAAAGAGUGGAGGAGGAGAGAUUUAAUCUCAAGAAUCGACCGUUCCGUCCCCUCAAAGCAUCUACUGUUCCUUUCCCACCAAAGACACCAUAACACACAAUGUAGGGCAGCCUGCCAUAAGUCUAUACUGCGCUGUCUACCAAAUGGACCCUGCCAAGAUGCAAAUAAACUUGCAACACUUUGAGGCAUCACCCAAAUCACACCAAAAAGGUUUCAAACCAUAGACCAUAGCUUGAAGGCAAUGGGACAAUGAAGAAGAAGAUGGUUUACUGACUCCCCACUUUUUUUACACAUAUAACACCAAUCCAUGAUGGGUACAACCUUAUUCCACAAUCUAUCAAGGGUCAAAAUCUUGCAUAAGGUGGCAGUCCAAGAAAAGAAAGCAACUCUAGGAGGGAUGUUUGAGUGCCACACAGGUUUCCACAGAAAGAGGUUGUCAGGGGUCAAGAAGAGGGAUAAAUAGAACUCACUAACCUUAAAGCCCUUAUUCUUUGUCGACUUACAGCAAAGUUUGUCUUGCCCCUCACCAGUAAAGGUCAUAGAGUGUAUAAGGUUCCAAAAAAUAUCAAAUUGUUCUAUCUCCCAAUCUUGGGGCUCUCUAUAGAAUCGAAGAUCCCAAAGUAGUCUCUAAUUAGGAAAAGACAUGACAUCCGCAAGAUAGAAAUCCUUCCCAAAAUAGUUUCUGCUUAUGUAACCAAAUGCGAAUUAUACCUUUCAUAAAUCAGGCAUGAGUUUAGACAAAUUUCCACAACAACAAAGCUGCCCCAAAAUUUGGGAUCGUCAAUGGAUUCUCAACAGAUUAACUUUGGAGAAUUACAACACUAAACUGUAUUCUAGCCUAUGAAGAUGAUAAUGAUUACACCAGGAACAGGAGGUAUGAUUUAUAAUCAAGGUUUCUAAAAAACACUCAUCAAUGUAAAUAGCAGAAAGCGGUGUAGAGAGCACCAGUUAGUUAAUAGGAUAAGGCUACUCUAAUCUUCCAACAGAAAAUACCACUUUCUUAGCAAGUGUAGUUAGUGCAAAACAUAGAGGCUAUCUGGAGCCUUCAUCAAUCUGUAAAGACUAACAAGCAAUUCAGUCACACAAAACAGGCUGAAAACUAGGGAAAAUGGGUUAGAACAUAGAUUGUGACAAUCCAAUAACCUAAGCUUUCCAAGACAUACAAUAUGGCAAAUCCUAUAAUCUAAAUAAAAUUACACAGUGAUUGCAAACUUAGCUAGUUUUCACAUCUUAGUCUUUGAGCACUCCAGGAUUCAGACAACAGAACACGGACAAACAGAAAAGCAGGACACACUACCUUGUUUCUGUUAUCAGGUACAAGUAGAGAUAAGAAAAAAAUCAUAAUAUAGGCAGACAACGAUUUUUUUAGGUUGAAGAAACUUUUACAAUUCAAUCCUCAUAAAAUUCUAAGAGGAAAAUUGGAAAUUGUGAUGUUACAUGUGUCAUGAGAAUUUGUUAUUCUUUUAAGCAAAGAAAUUUUUGAUUACCAAAAAGAAGAAUCUUCUUCAAACUAUAUGUCCUUAGGCAUGACCAUACGUAACAUACAAAUCACGUUUGGAAAGGGUGGACAAUUAUCUAUAGCUUCAGCUGACGUGGUAAAACUGCUUAUUAAAGUGGGAAAAUCAACCACUAUCAUUACCCUCUAAAGAGGCCGUUUGAUAUUAAAAAACUCCAUGGUAAGGUUCUUAACAUAUAGAGAGAAAAAAAAUGAUAAAGUUUGAGAGCACCUCCAAUCUUUAAGCAAUAUCAAGAACUAGUAUAAUUUCCCAGCAGAAAAAACUAAGCAGCAUAGAUUGCACAAUUACAAUUCACAUGGAACAUAUUCAGGUCCAAAGGCAGUUCAGGUCCAAAAGGGAAUUAGGUAAACUUAGUUUGAAGUAACCUACUGAAUAGGUGAUUGAGUUUGGAUCGAAGAUUACUUGUAAAAAUCAUGAAUGAAAUCUAGCAUUCCCUUCUGAUACUGUCAACCUCCACUGAUCUUCAAGUAUGCCAAUUAAUUUAACUUCCAACAUUUGAUCCUAAAUGUGACAAUAACUUUAUCUUUGCUCAAACCGAAUUCUAUAAUUAAGUACAUGGAGUAAUACACUAGCUUCUCCAUCUAGAACAUAGAUCUAAAUCCAAAAAACUAAACUCAACAAUAACAACCAAGCCUUUUAGUGUCAAAAUUUUGGAGUCAUCUAUCGAUCCUCAAUAGACUAGUCAGAGUUGGCCAUGUGUAUUCUUUGCUAUCAUUCUAUUCUAUUGAAGUUAUAAUCCCAAACCCUUUUCUACCCAACACCAAGACACCCAAAAACUGAAGCUGAAGAUCAAAAUCCAGACAAAAUUCAUAGAGUAAAAAUCAAAUUCAAAUCCAAAUAAAUCAAAGUUUCAAAUAGGUCACUUGAUUCCUGGUUAAACUCUUAGCAAAAAAUGCAUUCUAACAAUACACGCGAAUACACCCCUUAUAUUGCUUCCCAUUUUCUUUCCAUUUCUCUCCUCUAAUUUUCUCGAGAGUGAUGCUAAUUGCUAAGUAUACUACAAAUAUUAUUACAUAAACCUUAUAAAUUGAUGUGUAUGUG